UCCCUGGUGGUCCAGUGGCUAAGACUCUGUGCUCGCAAUGCAAGAGGCCCAGGUUCGAUCCCUGGUCAGGGAA